rnacentral:rRNA from 1 species
AAUGAACGUUGGCGGCGUGGAUUAGGCAUGCAAGUCGAGCGCUCAUAGCAAUAUGGGAGCGGCGAACGGCGUAGGAAUUCAUAGGAACGUACCCUCAGGUCGGGGAUAGCUACGGGAAACUGUAGGUAAUACCCGAUGAUCUCUGCGGAGCAAAGGUGUGAUUCCGCCUGAGGAGCGGCUUAUGUGAUAUUAGCUAGUUGGUGGGGUAAUGGCCUACCAAGGCGAAGAUGUCUAGGGGGGUGUGAGAGCAUGGCCCCCAGACCGGAACUGAGAUACUGUCCGGACACCUACGGGUGGCUGGCAGUCGAGAAUCUUCCGCAAUGGACGAAAGUCUGACGGAGCGACGCCGCGUGCGGGAUGAAGG